rnacentral:lncRNA from 1 species
AGGCCUGUCCAUGUUGAAAUGAAUUGCCAAGUAUACAAAAUGACCCCAUUUUUAAUACAUCCCAUAAUACUACAUACACAGGUCUAUGCACAUAUUCAUGGAUCGAUACACUCCUAACUCCUUAUAUCCUUCACAUGCGACUGAGACAGGACAGUAAGAACAGGUGGGUAAAUAAAGUUUUUAAGAUACUUUCAUAUUUAAGGAGUGUUUUAUUUUCUUAACUAAUGAACAAAAACUAGGCUUUGAAUAUAAAUUAAAAUUCUUAUUUUUCCAAGUGAAAAUGCUGAUACUAGCUAAAGUUGAUAAUUUAAGAAAGUGGUACUAGGAGAUUACUUAGAAUUAUGGUAGCAACCACCAGAGUAAAUAGGAAUCAGGAGGACUAGGAAUGAAAUGGUAGACUUUUCCUUAUGUAGAACUAGGCAGCAGAAUUUCUUAAGGUGACUUGGGCUUACAUACAGUAUGACAUGUAAAGUACAUCUAGAUUUUAAGUGCCUUCAAGAGCUUAGUAAAUCAUCAUAAGUAAAGCCAGGCAUAUAAAA